rnacentral:lncRNA from 1 species
AUACUAGAGCCAUGGUCAGCAAAAACCUGCACACAAAGUAUGCCAAAAUCUAGCUUCUAGUUAUAUGUUGCUUUUGCUUGUGAACACUGUCUAAGUUGGCUUCACUUUUUUUAGGAAUAGUUUACCUCAUUGGUCUGGAAGUAGGUGCCAUUCAGUGGGAAGCCUCCUCUCAUUGCUGUCCUGCAAGGUAUCUGUUCACAAACAAGUAAGUCAUUCCUCAUAUUUUUGCUACUUAACAGAGAGAUUCUCUUGAAAAUAAUAGCUUACCAAGAUAGUUCCUCGCACUAUUUGUGAUUGCUCUUCCCGUAUCUUGUUGCAUUCGAAACAUUUCUUUUCAUGACACAAUGUACUGUUGUCUCCUUGGAAUUCACAUCUUUGUUUAGGCAGUUGAAUGGAAUUUUCAGUUUCACCUGGUAUGGCAAAUACAUGUUAGGCAUCAUCUAUAUACAUCUAAGGCUGAAAAGUGAAAACCCUUAAAUUUGUAGCACUAGCUUUUUAAUGUUUGAUCCUUGGAACAGAAUAAUCAUGGUCAGUUCUUUUUGUGUUUACCUGGAGUCCAAAUGGCUAACAGAUAGGGAACUAUAUCCUCAUCUUCUCGCCUCUCAAACUGUUAACAAUUUUUUUUUAAUCAAACAAGCAGUUUUUAAGACUUUGAGAAGUCGAAAUUUUCUUGCAAGAGUUACUAACCCCUUGUAGAAUGAAAUGGUAGUCAGGGAGCUCGUAGCUGUAAUAAAAGAAGGAAAUAAAAGUUAAAAAGAGAAUUAGUAUGAGACAAAUGCUGAUUAAGUUCCCUGAUGAAAAGACAGAUUUGAAAGAGGCAACUCACACAAGGUGCUCUGUACGUAGCUUUUCCAUGAUCUUGAGUUUACGUGUAGGUAUUGCUGCUGCUUGUGUGCUUAGUACCACCAAAUCCGUUGAUGUAACUGCUUCCUUGUUGAGCAUGAUUGUAGGAAUUAUAUCCUUAUCUUCCCAAGGAUCAUUUUCCAAGAUCGUAGACAUUGCAACGUUGUUAUUGUCCCAAGGAUAAUCCUCAAUGUCUGGCAUUGUAUAUUCUGGUUCUGGUGAUGCCGGUUCUUCGAUGAUCGGUUCGCAUCUUUGCGCUUCUUGCUCGUUUUCUUGAGAAAACAAUAAGGAUGGCCGAAAAUUAACUACAAAGGGAUUUCUUUUAUACCUUCUCUCAUAGAGCAUUACAGUUGUUCUAUCGCUCACUUCCGGUUCUGGUAGAGCAAGACGUGCCCUGCGAUAUAAGAAAAUACGAUACUUAGAAAAAUUGUCAACAUCUCUUUCUGGUUAAGCUAGAGUUGAUGCACAUAAUAAUUUUUCAAUGCGCCUAUGAAUGAAUAUACUGGAACUAAUUCAGUGACCGUAGCAUUUUGUAGGUAUAACCUUUGUGCACUAGCGUAGUGUCGGCACUCCGCCUUCAUUGGACAUGCUUUGCAAUUGGGUUUUAAUUUGGUGCAAAAUACCUGUAGAAACGGACAAGUCAGUUUAAGACCGUUAACAUAAGAAGUUUUGUGAAAAUUAACUGAAACACAUGAGAAUCUGUUUGUGUUUGAGGUACCUUUCCGAAUGUGAUCAUGUGGUAAUGCAGCUCGUACCUAGAAUUGUAUAAUACAGUAGAGAGUUAUUCAGUGAAGUUGAGGGAUCUAGAGUAAUGGUAUAGAAGUUAUACAAAAGAAAGGUUUAACACUUACAAGGUUUUUUGGUCAAGCUUGCAGAGGCGUGGCCAGAGAUACUUUUGAACUGAAUUCAAUACAGGGUACCUGAAUAAAAUAAAAGACCAAGGGGCUUACGCUUAUUGAAAUUUAUCAUGUUUCCUUUCAUUUUUGAAGAAAGAUCUUUUAGAGAAUUUACUUACAGCUCUAAAAGGUGCAUUUGCAGCUGGUCAGGUAGUGGCUGUAAAGGAACCCACCCUAGUCUCACAGCUAUGCGUCCAACGUUGGUGUCAACCUGCAUUUUGCAGAUAUGUUAAUAUCUCUAUUGCACAUUCCAUUAAGGGUAGAUUACUCUUCAUUAACUUACAGGGAAUGCAAUCUGGUGUAGUGACAAAAGUCUAACACACUCCACACUUUUCAAUCCUAAUCCGUUUAUGCUUAGUAGAUACUCCCUGCAACCAUUAGUAGUCACACGUGUCAUUUUAGUUCACCCAUGAAUGCUUUUGAACCAUAUAUAGGAUAUAUAUAUUGUAUGACAUCAAGUUUUGUAAAUAAUUUUCUUACUUGGCUUUGUCAGGGGGAACAUCUCUUAGCCACUCCAAGUCAAUGCUUCCAUGUUCUUCAACCAGUCUAUUUAGGAAGUCCUGUCCAAAAUAUACUUGUUAGAUUGUAUAUUUCAGAUAUAUAGCACAAAAAAAUUCUUAUUGAAUUAGUCAAACCUUGAUUCUCUUAGCAAGCAUGUUGUUCAUUCCUCUUUUUAUGAUUAUAGCAGCGAUCUUGUUGACGCUAGAACCCCGAAGUGCAUCCCAAUCAACUGUGUCCAGCGUUCUUUCUGUUCUCUCUCUCUUUUUGCCACCACUUUCUACUUGCUUUCUCAAACUAUCCCAGUCAAAGCUGUCUUCCAGCUUGCUCUUUGCUGGUUUCUUUGAUUCUUUCACCUUGUUUUUGGGUGGUCGACCUACUGGUCUGGAAGUAGUUGGUUUCUUCUUCUCCUUGUUCUUCACAACCUCCUUUCUUGUGUUCUUUUCCUGGUCUUGUGCCUGAAGGGUACUGUCCAGUUCUUGUUGAUGGCUCGACAUAUGUUGAACCUGAAUUUCUUCAUAGAAUUUGUUUGUGAGUGCAUCAACAUCACAGUUCUCUACUUCAUGUGGUACUUCAUUUAGGUUCAGUUCACAGUGAGAAGAAGUAGACGUGCCCGCAAAUGGAUCCAGCAGCGUCAUUGUUGACUGAUUUGUAGAGCUCAUGGAAGUGUCACUGGUUUUAGAGGAUUCAUGAGCACAAACAGCAUCAGUACCGUCCUCAUCAUCAUCAUCAUCAUCAAUCUCCUCUAUGAUGACACAAGUUGGCUUGCGAAUUCUUGGAUUUGAAGUUGCUGAACUUCCCCACUCUUCAAGAGAUGAUCUCUUGUUGAAGUUCCAGUUGACAGGAAACUCAGCGGCAAGAUCCAUAUAUGCAGAACUGCAAAAGUGAAGAAGUUAAUAAUUUGAAAACCAUUCAUGUUGCUUAAAUCCUCUGUUUAUUACAAAUCGUUUGAACGCAUUACCUUGAUGAAUGAUCUGCAACAUUCUGGGUGAGGAAAACUCCCACUACUGAAUCCACAACAGAUCCUUUCCAACGUGAGAAAGUCCUAUCCCCUGCAGUAAUAGGUUUGCUUUUAGACCAUUUUGCAUUGUAUACAAUAAAUAAUGAGCUAAGAUUUAAAACUCAAGUCACGAAGCAAUGCCGAAGUUAAAAUCAAUAAAAUAGUACCUUGCACUAUACUCAUUCUAGCAAUGAACGAGUUUGCUCUCUCAUGGAACACGUUUCUCUCAUCUUUCCACCAUUUGCGUUUGUCCUCAUCCAAUCCGUCAACACCGUCGUUGUUGAUACUCGACAUCAAGAGUUUAAAUACUCGAUUUGUCUCGGGAUCUAUAUCUACUUUUGGUAGCUGCUUCUUGCUAUAUUUUAUCAGUUCGCGUUGCUCUUCAUAUAAGUUUUGGUAUAGAACAAGUGCACUUUCUUGAAACUUCUUGUUGAUAUCCAGCUCUUGAAGCUUCUUAGUGACGGAAUCGAGUUCCAUACUUCUAAUCCACAUCUCAGCAAAUGAUGUAACUGCAUUUUGUAAUAAUGAUUCAAAAGUUAGAAAUCUAGUAUCUAUUUGAUAUGAAAAUGCAUUUGCAUGUUCAGCUUGUGUGUUGCCAAACCUUUUGGUUUUGGACUUUGCCACUCUCUGUGUAGUAUCCUUGCAUUGAGUUGGCUUGCUAAAGGAUCUCUUUGUCUCCGCUUCUUCCUAGGCACUUUUGGUUGUAUCUCCGAGACAUUAAGCAGCGGAAGACUGCACUUGCUUGGUACAAUACUUUCUAAAAGUUUCGCCAGU